rnacentral:rRNA from 1 species
UAGUGGAUGCCUUGGCAUGUAGAGGCGAUGAAGGACGUGGCACGCUGCGAUAAGUCUCGGGGAGUUGCGAGCAGACUUUGAUCCGAGAAUUUCCGAAUGGGGAAACCCACCGUUUCGGCGGUAUCGCACACUGAAUACAUAGGUGUGCGAGGCAAACCCGGGGAACUGAAACAUCUAAGUACCCGGAGGAAAGGACAUCAAUUGAUACUCCCCUAGUAGCGGCGAGCGAACGGGGACCAGCCGAGCCUUGAGCGUGACUAGAAUGUGCUGGAAAGCACAGCCAUAGCGGGUGACAGCCCCGUAUAGGAAGCGUGAUGGGACGUAUUAAGUAGGGCGGGACACGUGAAAUCCUGUCUGAAGAUCGGAGGACCACCUUCGAAGGCUAAGUACUCCUUACUGACCGAUAGUGAACCAGUACCGUGAGGGAAAGGCGAAAAGAACCCCUGUGAGGGGAGUGAAAUAGAUCCUGAAACCGUAUGCGUACAAGCAGUCGGAGCAGACUUGUUCUGUGACGGCGUACCUUUUGUAUAAUGGGUCAGCGACUUAUGUUCAGUGGC